UGAUGAUUCGCCGUGCAUUCCUGUGGUAUCUGAUGCAUCUUGCAUGAACACGAAAAACGCAA
rnacentral:snoRNA from 1 species